GUACAAGUUAGUGCGUCCGCCAAUAACGUGUUUAUCAUUAGAAUUAAUUGUGGCACGAUUUACAAUUAUUAUAAUAAUUAAUGUAUCACAAAUUACAAUUCAAAUGGUAAUGAAUUCCAUUUAAAAGAUAUUUAAAUUAACUCGAUUGAGUAAUCAUCACUUCGCUGAUAAGACUAUACUUAAAUAUGGCGCAAAUUCUUAAUUUUCUAAGUUUCCAACAGUUGGGAAAAUGACAAAGAAGGCAACAAGUCUCUUCGUUCUCUUCGCAUGCCUAUCAUUGAUUUUGGCAAGUGCAACAAGAUUUAAACGUUUUGCUGCACUCAGACUGGCUAAAGUACUGGUACGACGCCCUGAUGUUGGCCCUAACACUUCAAGCAACCAACUUGUAGCUGAGGACUCCGCUGUCAACAAUAUAGGACAGGGCUUUAUUUCAAGAAAAUAGUAAAGUUGACACUCAGAGAGGCACAGCAUGUGAAAUAAUAAUCUCUAUUAUUAUAUUGUGAAUUCGAAUAAUGAAUAUAAUUAAAAUAAAUUAUAAUAACUAAAUAA